rnacentral:rRNA from 1 species
UACGGAAGGCAGCAGUGGGGAAUAUUGCACAAUGGGCGAAAGCCUGAUGCAGCGACGCCGCGUGAGGGAUGACGGCCUUCGGGUUGUAAACCUCUUUCAGCAGGGAAGAAGCCACAAGUGACGGUACCUGCAGAAGAAGCGCCGGCUAACUACGUGCCAGCAGCCGCGGUAAUACGUAGGGCGCAAGCGUUGUCCGGAAUUAUUGGGCGUAAAGAGCUCGUAGGCGGUUUUGUCGCGUCUGCUGUGAAAGCCCGGGGCUUAACCCCGGGUGUGCAGUGGGUACGGGCAGCUAGAGUGCAGUAGGGGAGACUGGAAUUCCUGGUGUAGCGGUGGAAUGCGCAGAUAUCAGGAGGAACACCGAUGGCGAAGGCAGGUCUCUGGGCUGUUACUGACGCUGAGGAGCGAAAGCAUGGGGGAGCGGAACAGGGAUUAGGAUACC